rnacentral:rRNA from 1 species
GGCGAACGCUGGCGGCGUGCUUAACACAUGCAAGUCGAACGGUAAGGCCCUUCGGGGUACACGAGUGGCGAACGGGUGAGUAACACGUGGGUGAUCUGCCCUGCACUUCGGGAUAAGCCUGGGAAACAGGGUCUAAUACCGGAUAGGACCACUGCCUGCAUGGGUGGUGGUGGAAAGCUUUUGCGGUGUGGGAUGGGCCCGCGGCCUAUCAGCUUGUUGGUGGGGUGAUGGCCUACCAAGGCGACGACGGGUAGCCGGCCUGAGAGGGUGACCGGCCACACUGGGACUGAGAUACGGCCCAGACUCCUACGGGAGGCAGCAGUGGGGAAUAUUGCACAAUGGGCGCAAGCCUGAUGCAGCGACGCCGCGUGAGGGAUGACGGCCUUCGGGUUGUAAACCUCUUUUAGCAGGGAAGAAGCGAAAGUGACGGUACCUGCAGAAAAAGCACCGGCUAACUACGUGCCAGCAGCCGCGGUAA